rfam:Smittium mucronatum strain ALG-7-W6 scaffold-25691, whole genome shotgun sequence.
GGGAAUAUAACUUAAUGGUAGAGUAUCAGACUUUUAAUCUGAAUUGUUUGGGUUCAAAUCCCAAUAUUCUCA